GUCUUCGUGAUGUAGUGGUCAGCACGCUCGACGCGUAACCGAGAGGUCCGUGGUUCGAAUCCCGGCAAAGGCG
rfam:Stegodyphus mimosarum contig19249, whole genome shotgun sequence.